rnacentral:rRNA from 1 species
AGAGUUUGAUCCUGGCUCAGAUUGAACGCUGGCGGCAUGCUUUACACAUGCAAGUCGAACGGCAGCACGGGUGCUUGCACCUGGUGGCGAGUGGCGAACGGGUGAGUAAUGCACCGGAACGUACCCAGUAAUGGGGGAUAACACAUCGAAAGAUGUGCCAAUACCGCAUACGCCCUGAGGUGGAAAGCGGGGGAUCGUAAGACCUCGCGUUAUUGGAGCGGCCGAUGCCGGAUUAGCUAGUUGGUGAGGUAAGAGCUCACCAAGGCGACGAUCCGUAGCUGGUCUGAGAGGACGACCAGCCACACUGGGACUGAGACACGGCCCAGACUCCUACGGGAGGCAGCAGUGGGGAAUUUUGGACAAUGGGCGCAAGCCUGAUCCAGCCAUGCCGCGUGAGUGAAGAAGGCCUUCGGGUUGUAAAGCUCUUUCGCAAGGAAAGAAAACUUAUCUACUAA